CGAGCCGCUCCUUAGCGCCCAGUUGCGCAAAUCAAAUUCUUUCCCGUUCUAUUUACUCCUGAUCAAGAGGGGCUGUCAGUCCAACCCUCCAGCUGUAGGCUCGUGCAUCUGCCAGUCUCUUGGCGCGUGGGGACCGCGUGGAAGUGCCUUCGCGUGUGCGUGCCAGCUGAGAUGAGACGUGGAAGCUGGAGGGGUCCGGCAUCCCAGAGAGGCGUGAGGCUCCCAAACGGCAUCCUUAGAAACAUCUCAAGACUUGCUGGAUGUUUGAAGGUCUCUCUGGAUUCCUAGCAGGUGGUCUGAUGCUCGAAGGUUUCCCACAGCUGGAUGGGAGGGAAUUCAGAGACGGAGUCUUGCUCUGUUGCCCAGGCUGGAGUGCAGUGACGUGAUCUCGGCUCACUGAAGCAUACAUUUUGAGAGUACCGUAACAGGUUGCACCUCUGCCUUCCAAGCACCUAUUGGCUCCAAUUCUCUUGCUUUUGUGAGAUUCUUCACACACAGCCACUUGCGUCUUGAAGGUUGACCCACUGGAGGUGUAGCAGGCUGGAAU
rnacentral:lncRNA from 10 species